rnacentral:rRNA from 1 species
AGAGUUCGAUUAUGGCUCAGGAUGAACGCUGGCGGCGUGCUUAACACAUGCAAGUCGAACGAAGCGGUCUGGUUGAAGCCUUCGGGCGGAAACCAGAUUGACUGAGUGGCGGACGGGUGAGUAACGCGUGGGCAACCUGCCUCACACAGGGGGAUAACAGUUAGAAAUGACUGCUAAUACCGCAUAAGCGCACAGCAUGGCAUCAUGCAGUGUGAAAAACUCCGGUGGUGUGGGAUGGACCCGCGUCUGAUUAGGUAGUUGGUGGGGUAAAGGCCUACCAAGCCGACGAUCAGUAGCCGACCUGAGAGGGUGACCGGCCACAUUGGGACUGAGACACGGCCCAA